GCCAGGGCUGCGUCCUAACCGGCGUCUGGGUCAUAGCCCACGAGUGCGGCCACCACGCCUUCAGCGACUACCAGUGGCUGGACGACACCGUCGGCCUCAUCUUCCACUCCUUCCUCCUCGUCCCUUACUUCUCCUGGAAGUACAGUCAUCGACGCCACCAUUCCAACACUGGCUCCCUCGAGAGAGACGAAGUGUUUGUCCCCAAGAAGAAGUCAGACAUCAAGUGGUACGGCAAGUACCUCAACAACCCUUUGGGACGCACCGUGAUGUUAACGGUUCAGUUCACUCUCGGCUGGCCUUUGUACUUAGCCUUCAACGUCUCGGGGAGACCUUACGACGGCGGCUUCGCUUGCCAUUUCCACCCCAACGCUCCCAUCUACAACGACCGUGAGCGUCUCCAGAUAUACAUCUCCGACGCUGGCAUCCUCGCCGUCUGCUACGGUCUCUACCGCUACGCUGCUGUCCAAGGAGUUGCCUCGAUGGUCUGCUUCUACGGAGUUCCUCUUCUGAUUGUCAACGGGUUCUUAGUUUUGAUCACUUACUUGCAGCACACGCAUCCUUCCCUGCCUCACUAUGACUCGUCUGAGUGGGAUUGGUUGAGGGGAGCUUUGGCCACCGUUGACAGAGACUACGGAAUCUUGAACAAGGUCUUCCACAAUAUCACGGACACGCACGUGGCGCAUCACCUGUUCUCGACCAUGCCGCAUUAUCAUGCGAUGGAAGCUACGAAGGCGAUAAAGCCGAUACUGGGAGAGUAUUAUCAGUUCGAUGGGACGCCGGUGGUUAAGGCGAUGUGGAGGGAGGCGAAGGAGUGUAUCUAUGUGGAACCGGACAGGCAAGGUGAGAAGAAAGGUGUGUUCUGGUACAACAAUAAGUUAUGAAGCAAAGAAGAAACUGAACCUUUCUCUUCUAUGAUUGUCUUUGUUUAAGAAGCUAUGUUUCUGUUUCAAUAAUCUUAAUUAUCCAUUUUGUUGUGUUUUCUGACAUUUUGGCUAAAAUUAUGUGAUGUUGGAAGUUAGUGUCUAAAAUGUCUUGUGUCUGUAUUGUUCUUCUUCUCAUCGCUGUUAUGUUUGGGAUCGUUGAAAUGUGACUUUCGGACUAGUGAACUCUUGUUCUCGAACUAUCUUAAUGUGGAUCCCUGAACAGUGUAAUGGCUUAGCUUCCUCUGAAACUACUAUUAUGUUCUAGUGAAUCUUGACAUAAAGCAACUUGUCGUUUCAAGACAUACCAAUGCUUUAAGAAAAAUGUUUUACUCACCUGAAGUGAACCAUAAAUCUAAUCUUCGUUACAGUUAAGUUAGUUUGAGUUAUUGCGUUGUUUGGUUGGCAGAUCACCUUUACUACUUAUGUGGUUCAGUCUCUUUGUAAAAAACUCUAUUCUUCUCUUUUAAUUUGUAGAAACCUGUCAACGUAAGCCAAAUUCAUUUCUUCAUCUUUAUUUGCUUUCAGAUUUGUGAGGGAACAAAAGAAAUUAAGACAAAUAAAUCUUUUUUUUUCUCAUUAAUGGCAGAAACAACCAAAGAGAGUGUGACAACAAGAAACAAUUGUAGUGAGGAAAAACCAAAGAAAAAAAUUGUCUGAAACCAACUCGUUGAACAUAUAAAAUAAUACGAAACAAUCUUUCAUCCAACGGCGAGCGUAAUCUUAGAAGCAUUUCCUGUGGACUAUCGAUGGCCCUGCCUCAUCAUACUCAGCUUUUGCUAUCCACAUCUGCAAUACCAACAUUGUGUAUCAUAGUCAGCUUACAAAACGAGUAACAAGCAGAAAAGAUGAUUUACCUGUUGGAAGGUACUAAGUGAUGCUAGAAUGGAUCCUCCAAUCCAAACACUAUACUUCCUCUCCGGUGGAGCAACCACCUUAAUCUUCAUGCUACUCGGAGCCAAAGCAGUGAUCUCCUUACUCAUCCUAUCAGCAAUCCCAGGGAACAUCGUGGUUCCACCACUAAGCACAAUGUUUCCAUACAAAUCUUUCCUAAUAUCGACAUCACACUUCAUGAUCGAAUUGUAAGUUGUCUCGUGAAUACCAGCAGCUUCCAUUCCGACCAAAGACGGCUGGAAAAGAACCUCAGGGCACCUGAACCUCUCCCCUCCAAUAGUGAUCACCUGUCCAUCAGGCAACUCGUAGCUCUUGUCGACCGAUGAGCUAGUGUUCGCCGUCUCCAUCUCUUGCUCGUAGUCAAGUGCUAUGUAAGCGAGCUUCUCUUUCACGUCUCUCACGAUCUCACGCUCUGCUGUGGUGGUGAAUGAGUAACCACGUUCGGUUAAGAUCUUCAUGAGGUAAUCAGUGAGGUCACGACCUGCGAGAUCAAGACGCAGAAUGGCGUGUGGGAGAGCAUAUCCUUCGUAGAUUGGAACAGUGUGACUCACACCAUCUCCAGAAUCCAACACAAUGCCUGAAACAAUGAUUCCACAUCACUAUGAAAGUGUUCUACCUUUAUAAACUGUCUAGAUAAUUAUAAUAUAAUAAUAAUUUAUAAUUUAUAAUAAUUAAUAUUUUUUAGUAUAAAAUCUUAUGAGAAUAAACAAUAUAAAUAUUAUUAUUUGUAAAUCAUGGUAUUUAUUAUAUUAUAUAUUUUUCCAACCACUAAACUCUUAUAAUACAUCAAUACUAUUAAAACUGAAGGGCCUUUUUUGAGGUAUCCUUGGAGUUUUAAAGUAUUUACCAUUCUAUGCCACUGAAUUAUUUUUAAACUAUGAUUUCAAUUAAAUUCUUUUAUUUUUUGUUUUGAAAUCGCAACAAACCAUCUCCUAAUUCCGUGUAUUUUGCAAUCCCACCGCACUGUUUCAAACGCUCGAUCCCUCGCUCUUUCUCCUACCUCAUCUGGGACAUCAUCAUAGCCUCCUGCUUCUACUACGUCGCCACCACUUACUUCCCUCUCCUCCCUCACCCUCUCUCCUACUUCGCCUGGCCUCUCUACUGGGCCUGCCAGGGCUGCGUCCUAACCGGCGUCUGGGUCAUAGCCCACGAGUGCGGCCACCACGCCUUCAGCGACUACCAGUGGCUGGACGACACCGUCGGCCUCAUCUUCCACUCCUUCCUCCUCGUCCCUUACUUCUCCUGGAAGUACAGUCAUCGACGCCACCAUUCCAACACUGGCUCCCUCGAGAGAGACGAAGUGUUUGUCCCCAAGAAGAAGUCAGACAUCAAGUGGUACGGCAAGUACCUCAACAACCCUUUGGGACGCACCGUGAUGUUAACGGUUCAGUUCACUCUCGGCUGGCCUUUGUACUUAGCCUUCAACGUCUCGGGGAGACCUUACGACGGCGGCUUCGCUUGCCAUUUCCACCCCAACGCUCCCAUCUACAACGACCGUGAGCGUCUCCAGAUAUACAUCUCCGACGCUGGCAUCCUCGCCGUCUGCUACGGUCUCUACCGCUACGCUGCUGUCCAAGGAGUUGCCUCG
rnacentral:lncRNA from 1 species